rnacentral:lncRNA from 1 species
UGGGAAGAUGCUGUGCCUCGAGGAUUAGUUUAAACAGGGGCUAUAAAAGAUGUAACAGAUGCAAACUGUAACACAAGGGCCAUUAACCCUUUCUCUGCCGAGCACACUCAGUCCCCACGCCCCGCACCUAUUGUCUCCUGUGCUAGAAGCUUUGCAGAAAACCUGGAAAGUGAGUAUCAGUUUCCAGACAUUCGCUGAGAGGGGAGGGGGGCAGAGAGAAGGGGAAGUGGAUGAUUUAGAAAGCACCUUGAAUUCAACCUAGGCAUAGGGAGUGACUUUUAUGUUUGACACGUUUUGUCAUUUCUUGGCGUUCUAUUGAUUUGAAAUGGUUGGGGAAAAUCCUGAAAUAAGGGAACGGUCACACAAGUGUCUGGGAUGAAACAGCUGGCCUGUCUGUAUUCAUGCUGAGACUUACACACGAUUGCAUAUAAAUACAUGUUUAAUAAAGUAAGCUGCUAGUUUUAUGAGCGUGUGUGUAUGUGAGAGAGAGAGAGAGAGAGAGAGAGAGAGAGAGGGCAUUUGUGCUGUAAACUUUAUCUUUGCCUGUUAUUUCUAACUCUGGAGUUAGUAAUCUUGCCUUCAUCAUUAUAGGGGGAGCAUGUAAAAUACAUAAGUAGGUGGGAGAUAAACACAUUCAUGUUAGCCGGGCUCAUCACUGUUCCUGGGAACUUCUGUUAUCUCUCUCGACUUUUCAGUGCCAAAGUAUGGAAUGGGAUAUGUGUGUGCAUGUGUCUCCUGCUAAAUCCAUGUCUAUAUUACUUUGCCAUUUAAAAUACAAUUUCAAAAGUUAUCCUUAAUUUUAAAACUCUGAUAUCCUGACAGCAGCUUUCUUCCCAGCUGUAGUGACCCCCCCCCCAACACACACACACUUUGGUAAACGACUCGAGUUCCAUGAGGACUUUCACUUCUUUAUUUAUCAUCACAGAAGUGAGGUGUUACUUCACAUACAUACACACACAAAGAAUAAAAUAAAGAAAUGAAACUCGCUAAGCAGACAAAAACAGGCAACUUUCUGCUUAGAAAACAGCCUUCUCGGGUGGGAGAGGAUGCACUGCCAUAUCUAAGAGAAAGACUUGCCCCUGAAUUUGGUAGGUUUGUAUCGAUCAAGUUUUGUAAUUAUUCACAGGUAUUUGCCAAGUUUUAAUUGCUGAAUACAAUGAAUUGGCACUAGAUGCAAAAAUAGAGCAGAAUCUCUCCCCUUGAAGAGUUUUCAUUCCACCAUAUAGUUCUCAAUAAAACUUUUCCUAGGCUGGGUAGCAAAAGGCACCUUUGGUUACCUGAAUGGACAGGUACAGGGCAAAUUAUUUGGGGGAGGAAAAAAGAAGAGAAAAGGAAAGAGAGAGUGCCGGAGAGCCAGAGAAAUCAAAGAAGUCACUCUUGGGAAAAGCUUGCCAUAAAGGAGCUAAACCCACCUGAAAUUCCUGCCCACAGACACUCCUUCUCACUUCAGACUCACAUCCCCACUUAAAAGGAGAAAAAUCAUAAAAGGAGGGUGGGGGAUGACCAUACCAAAAGGGAAUAAAAAGAGAGAAAAGGGGAAAAAAACCUACCUGCGAAGUCUUGUUUGUAGUUUUGGCCAGAAAUGGUGAGAAGAAAAAGCAUGAAGAAGCCGCGAAGUGUGGGGGAGAAAAAGGUGGAAGCGAAGAAACAGCUCCCGGAGCAAACUGUACAAAACCUCGCCAAGAGUGUCGGGAGGCAGGACCGUUAUUCCUGCGGAGCAGGUUAGAACUGAUCUCUUUCGGCCACUCCAGGAAACACAAACCUGGGGACGGACUGACGUGUUACGCCUCUUCUAAUGACAUUUUUUUCUUUUUCUUUUCUGUAGGAGAGAGAGGAGAGACCCUGAAACACGCGCCACCUAUCUUUGUGGGGAGGGAUAAUUGAAGCGCCCUGAGCGUGAGCAUCAUGUGAAAACGUGAUCGCCAAGUUUCUCUCUGGGAAAGGAUCUGGGAUAGAUUAUACCUUGAAGUCUCCGCAAACGCUUUAGUGGAAGAAAUGAAAUUCCACCUCCCUCCCUUCCUCUCUCCCUCCCUCUCGCCUCCCUCCCUCCCUCCCUCCCUCUCUUCUCCACGCCCCCCCCNCCCCCCCCCCCCCCCCCCCCCCCCCCCCCCCCGUCAAGCCUUUGGCAUCAUUAUCCUCAUCACUAAAUCCUACAGAGUACAGGGCGGAAAACGGUGCACACCAUUCACAGAACUGGAGAACUCUAAGGGGCGAAAGUUAAAGGGAAAGAUCCCGGGUCCUUAAUCCAGAUCGCCUCUUCUUAUACAGAUAUUUCUAAUGGCCAGACUUGAGAUGCACAUUAAGUUGUGUGGAUUUCUCAGCACGUCUUCUGGAACUAAAUUCUUUGCCCUUUUUCUUCUUUUAUUUUAUUUUAUUUUUCUUUUUGGAUGGCAGAGCCAGAAAAAAAAAUGCUGCAUGUGAACUACAUCUUAGGGUGUGUGUGCUGGGGUGUGUG